rnacentral:miRNA from 1 species
UGGCCUCUGGGUGUGUACCCU